rnacentral:lncRNA from 1 species
AACUAUGAAAGGAUAUGCAUUAAUUCCCUAACAAAUGUCUUCUUUUCUCUUCAAAGACACUGAAACUGGACAUUGUAGAAGAUGAAUUAUGAGAGUGAUUUAUGAAAGAAAGACAGUGGAGAAUUGCAAUCGAUGGAGACAUUCAAAGAAAAGACUUUGGCACUACAUCAAAAGAGAGUAGAAUAAAUGACGAAACUAAAGCACAAAGAGAUUAAAGAACUUAUCCAAGGUCAUGCAGCUGGAAAGAAGUGGAUUUGGGAUUGUGAACAUCACAAUUUCACAAACUACAUUUCAUGAUGGGUAGAGCUAGUCAAACGUCUGAAAAUAAAGUUUGGUUUAAAGAUGACCAUCGUCUUGUUAAGAAAUUAUAUAAAUGAG